rnacentral:rRNA from 1 species
UACAGAGGGUGCAAGCGUUAAUCGGAAUUACUGGGCGUAAAGCGCACGUAGGCGGAUAUUUAAGUCGAUUGUGAAAGCCCCGGGCUCAACCUGGGAACUGCAUUCGAAACUGCCAGCCUUGAGUGGUGGAGAGGGAAGUGGAAUUCCUGGUGUAGAGGUGAAAUUCGUAGAUAUCAGGAGGAACACCAGUGGCGAAGGCGGCUUCCUGGACACCAACUGACGCUGAGACGCGAAAGCGUGGGGAGCAAACAGG